rnacentral:rRNA from 1 species
UGGGGAAUAUUGGACAAUGGGCGCAAGCCUGAUCCAGCAAUGCCGCGUGAGUGAUGAAGGCCUUAGGGUUGUAAAGCUCUUUUACCCGGGAAGAUAAUGACUGUACCGGGAGAAUAAGCCACGGCUAACUCCGUGCCAGCAGCCGCGGUAAUACGGAGGGGGCUAGCGUUGUUCGGAAUUACUGGGCGUAAAGCGUACGUAGGCGGUUUUGUAAGUUAGAGGUGAAAGCCCGGAGCUCAACUUCGGAAUUGCCUUUAAGACUGCAUCACUUGAACGUCGGAGAGGUGAGUGGAAUUCCGAGUGUAGAGGUGAAAUUCGUAGAUAUUCGGAAGAACACCAGUGGCGAAGGCGGCUCACUGGACGACUGUUGACGCUGAGGUACGAAAGCGUGGGGAGCAAAC